UACGUAGGCAGCGAGCGUUGUUCGGAAUUACUGGGCGUAAAGAGUGUGUAGGCGGUGUUCCCAGUCUGUUGUGAAAUCUCCCGGCUUAACUGGGAGGGUGCAGCGGAAACUAGAAUGCUAGAGGGUGGGAGAGGUAAGCGGAAUUCCUGGUGUAGCGGUGAAAUGCGUAGAUAUAAGGAGGAACACCUGUGGUGUAGACAGCUUACUGGACCACUUCUGACGCUGAGACACGAAAGCGUGGGUAGCAAACAGG
rnacentral:rRNA from 1 species